rnacentral:misc_RNA from 1 species
GUCACUUGUCUUGGUGUGAUGAGACGAUGUUGUUUUUAUGGAUCACGCUUCUGCGAGCGGCUUACUUCGAAUAGCAUAAUUUAAAGCAUUGGUAUGCUGGGAUUACCAAUGUGGAUAAGGUGCACCUGCUAACAGGUGAAAAGGGAGAAUCUGGCAACUGAGAAUGCAGUAGCAACAAGACCACUAGGAGGACAAGCUGGUAGAUUGAGGAGUAGCUCCAUGGAGGAACUGCAGAUACCAUGCCUUAUUUUCUUGGCUAUGUUCUGCAUGAUCCCUACAGCAACAAAUGCCAACAUAUAUGAUUUAUACGGAGUUAUGCUCCCUCAUAAUCCUGUAUGGGCUGUUGGAUCAACCCAUGAUUUGAUCUGUAAUCUUACCAGAAACCAGACCUCCUAUACCACCGAUGAUCUCUAUUUCAUCUUCAAAAGUCACCCUCUACCAAGAGAACGCUAUGUUACACUACCAGAAUAUCCUGCAGGCGCUACCAAUGAGACUGGGUCAAAAAAUGCAGUGCCCGUUAUAGCCAUUCAGUUACAUAUAGAAAAUGUGACGAUAGAUGAUAGAGGUUAUUACAGUUGCUUUUUGAAUAUAUCCUCCGUGGAUAUGACAAAGCACAAGAUGGUUUAUAUGCAGGAAGCGAAAGUAGGAUAUGCUCCGUCUAAACCUGUUAACAUCCAGUGCAGAUCCUACCAAUGGAAGGGUAUGACCUGCACAUGGGACAUCGGAAGAGACCCCCUGAUUCCAACUGAAUGGACUUUAUACUACACAUUGGAUUUUAAUGAAUCCAUUCGCUGCCCUCAUAAUGGAAAACAUUCCUGUGAAUGGAAAGAUGAGAAAUUUGUACAUCCCGCAACAAAAUUUGGACUUGUCAUUGAAGCUGAAAAUGAAUUGGGCAAAGAAGAGUCAGAGCAAGUGGUGAUAAAUACCUCCGUUAUAGUGGAAGUUGCUCCUGUGAAUGAAAUUCAGUGUAAAGCGCUCAAUAACACUUCUAUUGAGAUUCUGUGGUCACAUGCAAAAGAUGCAGACAUUCCAGUGAUACUUCCCCUCAUCUAUGAUGUAUUGUACAAAGGACAAUGGGACGAGGAUUGGACUAAGCUGUCUGUUGAUGGAGACUACAACUUAAACUUGUCAAGAACUAUCAGAACUCUACAUUCCUAUUACACGACCUAUACAAUAGCCAUUAGGUGUAAGCCAAAGCAAGGCCUCUACUGGAGUGAAUGGAAAAAUAGCACAAUCAGAACUGAACCAGCUAGGCCAUCUGGGUCUCCAAAGUUUGGCCCAGGGAGUUUUUAUAUCACAAAAUGUCCAGGAUCAUCCACCACCUGUCAAAAUAUAAAGAUUCUUUGGCAGGAGGUGGCAGCCUACCAACGCAAUGGUGACAUCAUCAGUCACAUUAUAACAGCGAGCACUAUAGAGGGAAACACUACAAAGUCAACAGUGAAGAAUCAUAUCUCAUUUUCCAAUCUCAAGAGAGACACUCCGUACAUAUUCUAUGUGACAAGCCUUAAUAGUAAAGGAAUGUCACCUGAGGCUCAAUUAACGCUAGACACGGGAAUUUCAGCACCUCCAAAUGUUCAAAAUGGUUAUGUCGAACACCAGAUGAAUGGCAGCUUACUAGUGAAGUGGACCAACCCUGAAAAGCUGGCUCACCUAAUGUAUUAUGUGACAGUGUAUUGGUGUGAGGGCAGUCCCAACCACGAGUGCAGGGAGGGAAGUGACUUGCAUUGGAGGCGAGUGUCACAUGGUGAGAAUGAGUUGCUACUUGAACUAGACCUGACAGAGAGUGUUCAGUAUAAUGUUGCUAUAUCUGUAGAGGUGGCCAACACAAGCAGUGGCAUGACUGAUUGGUUGUGUUCUGUCUGGCAUGACUCAGUGCCAAAGACAGCACCAAGUGACCUGAGGCUAACAGAACAAAGUGAGAGAAGUUUGAGUAUAGCAUGGAAGGGCGCUCCGAGCUGUCAUGAGAGCAAGGUCUUCAUACAGGGCUACAUUUUAAACAUAUGUCAGUGGACAGCAGAAGUGCACUGUCUGAAUGGUACCGCUAAUGUAACAAGAGUUGGGCCUGGUAUAACAUCACAUAUGUUUGGAGAACUGAUGCCUAAUACUGACUAUGAGGUACAUAUCAGAAGCUACACGAAUCUGGAUGAGGGACCAAAGAGUUCAAAGCUACACAUAUUCAGAACUAAGCCAUCAGCUCCAAGCUCACCUCCUACAGGGCUUUAUAUCAGAAAUGUAACAGCAUCAUCUGUGAGUCUUGGCUGGAACCCAAGCCCUACCACUAAUGGUAACAUAACGCAUUACAUUGUGGAAUACAUGUCAGAUGUUCUGAAUGGUUCCUGUGAGGUAUCUGGAAACAUGACAAUGUCUACAGUUCACAAUCUACAUGGACAAGUACUCUACUCAUUCCUUGUGAAGGCUUGUGUAUUAGAGAGUCAUAAUCCAUGUUCUCCCCCUUCUGACAGGGUUCAAGCAUUGACACAUAUGGGAGAGCCUGGAAUGGUGCUUAAUUUUCAAAUGGAGACACUGAAGAAUGCCUCACUUAAGCUAGAAUGGGAUUCUCCUCUAAUUACCAAUGGACUUCAUACAAUGUACACAAUCAGAAUAGAAAGUGCAGAUGGCUCAAGCAAUAUUAACACAGUAAGAGUUGCAAAUAUGACCGAAGAUAUCAUUGACUUUGAUUGUGACAACAUCAGUAAUGAACCGGUCAAUGUAAGCAUCCAGGCUGUAAAUGAGGGCAAUGGCGAGCUGUUAAGUGGUCCAUGGAGUUCUGCAGAGCAGUUGGAGAUAUGUGCUGCAGGUGUGAACAUCACAUUGUUGAUAGUGAGUUGUGUAAUAGGAGCAGUAGUUUUAGCUGUGUUUCUUGCUGUAUGCAUAAGAUACUCAAGAAUAUUUUACAAGAAGGUGUCAGAAAGACAGGAGAUUACUGUUCCCCAAGACUCAUCAGUGCCUUUUAACACACAGGUGUUUGAUAGUGAGCCAGGGAUAUAUACAAGGAUGCUUUCUCAAGCUAGUAGUACAAGUGACCAUGGGUAUGCGAAACCCUAUGGGGAUCUACCUCAAACCUUGGGAAAUAGACCAGAGAUUGCUCCCCUCCUAGUCCCUGACACAUUAUACUUGGCCGGAACAAACACAACAGGGGCAACUGGAGAGACAGACUUGGGGGAAAGUGCAAUUGAACUUGUUGAAGUGAUUCCUAGUCCUAGUGAAGUAGGUGCUGCAGAAGCCUCUUCUGCAGUAUUAAAAGCACAAUCUGAUGUUGAAUCAGAACCUGGUGGCACUCAAUGUCAGUCUCAGCCUAAUGGUAAUACCCCAGUUGAGAGUAAUGGCACAUUGGGGUUAUAUCAGCAUCUUCAUGCCCCAUGUAUAUGUGUCAAUGAAGAUGGCUAUGUAGAUGACAUUAACAUUGUUAAUCAAGUGCAUGCAACGAUGCAAUCACCAUUUCAAUCAGAGAUGUACAUACCCAAACACAUUCCUGGGACAGAAAUGCACAACAAGGAUGAUGAACAAUUGAAGACAUUGGAAUGCCUGGGUUCUAAUGAAAGUGUAAAAACUGAAAAUGUCUCUUUGGAGGAUAAUACAAGUAGUGGAUUUGGUACAAUUCCCUCAAGUGGGACACCAUAUUAUUUAGAUAGUUACACUCCUGUGGGAAUGGAUGCAGGACAAUCAACAAAAGAACCAUAUAGAAACAGUGAUCUUUCCGAGAUUUCAACCUCUUGUCCGCAAGAAUCAGCAGCUCCCAGUUUGCGUGAUGAUUCAGAAGAUUCACAUACCGCACAUUCUCAUGGGUUAAAAAGAAACAGUAACAACUCAGAACUUGACCAAGAUUUUGGUACCAACCUAAAGCAUGAAGAUAAUUAUUAUGAUAGUGGAUGUCAAGAUGUCCACCCUGAUGGUCAUGACUUCGUUAAUGAUGAAGAUGAUAUAAACAAUGAUAUUGGCAUUGUUAAGAAUGUUGAUGUUCCACCCGAUAGCAUUGCUCAUAUAAACACUGCUCUGGAUAUGCAUUCCACAGGAAACGUCAGAAAACAGGCUCAACCUACUCCAAUUGACAAAGAAAUGCUUGAUAAUGUAGUUGCUUUCAAACCAGAAAAUAUGAGUAAUCCGAACAAAUAUGAAAUAACUGAUAUAGAUUCUGGGAGCAAUUAUGGAAAUACUGAAGAUAUAUAUCCAAGGAAUGAAGGAUUACGGAUAUCUAGUCGGACACCAGGAUUCGCUGGGAAUGCAAAUAACUCUAAUGGUAAUGAAUUGGUGAAUGGCAUCUCCAAUGAGUAUGUACCUCUUGAAGAAAUACAAAACAUAAGGGGUCCAUCAGAAACUAAGAUUUAAAUUAUAUCUUUAAAAGUGUCUUGAUGUCAUAUUUUCUAACAAAGAAAUGUAGGGAAAAAGCUUAAUCUGCAAUCACCAUGAUAAAUUCCAGCUUGACUAGGAAAAGUAUGAUUCACAAAUGGCAGAGAAGUAAGCAUAACUAAUGUUGGUAAACUUCAAUUUUAUUUUUUCAAGAUCCAACAUGCAUAAUUUGAAAAUUAUUGAAAAAAAUACGAAACAAAAAUUAAACAUUUUCAAACCAUUAUUUUUCCUACUCUUGUCUAGAUUUCUUGCCAAUGUAUUAUGUUAAUGCUAGAAUUGUAAUAUGGCUCUCUCCUUAUGUAGAAAUACAUUUAUGUUAUGAAUACAUGGGUACAAUUAAACUGAAAUGGGUGAAAACUGAGAUUGCAUUCACACAAUAGCCACAUGGGGAUUAUCAAACUGAAAUGUCAAAGAACAACUGAGUGUCGUGUUAAAUAAGGUGUUAUGAAAAAACUAAGAUGUCUGAUUAACUAGAUGUAUAUAAUCAAUUGAAUUUAGAAGUACAUGUGUUCUUUGGGUGGUGGACUGGUCAAGUGUUAAUUGUAUGACAGUAUGUGUAUAAUAUAUUCAGUGGACAAUAGACAUCACACGUUUGCUUGUUGCACUGGUAUGAUCGUUAAAAAUCACCUUAAUUAUUCAUCAUUCAUGUUGAUCACUUAUUUUAAAUAUAAUUGAGAAUUGUUUUUGUGUUUAAUAGUUGCACUAAUUUUGUGGUUUUAGAGCGAUGAAUACACAUGUUCGUAUAUCGAGCUGUUAACAUUGAGAUAUGGUUCGAAUCAAAAAUUAUUGUAUUUGUGAUACCUAAUGGACAAUGUACAGUGGAAGUUGAACACAUUUGCUUUUAAAGAAAUGUAAGGUUGUGUGCUUUUAGAUACUUAUACUACGUGAGAUUAAUAUGAGUUGUAUUAGUUUUGUUGUUAUGGAAACCUAUGUGACAGAGAGGGAUGAAGACUAGAGAUAGUAUAUACAAUAUACAUAAUAUGAAACUGUAUAUAUUUAGAUUCUAAGAUGAUAUAGUCACAUAUAAUUGAAACAUAUUCACUCAAAGAGCAAACUAGAUGACUAUCUACCAUAGUAUACAGCUAUUUGCCUUAAUAAUUUGAAGAAUAGAUUUACUGAUGGAAAGUAAACUUAGACCUACAAUGGAAGAAUUACAAGAAUAGAACACUGUAAUAUUAUAUUACAGUAAACAGUACAUACACAGUUGCAUUCCAUAAAGCUACCACAUUAUUCUUAAAGAAUUCCAAAUUGGGUCGACAAUUUUCACAGGAUUUUAUGAAAUGUGGGAAAUCUGUCUAGAAUGUUUUAUUUUAGUUUGAAUGAAUUUGAUAGUCAUAAGACUAAGUUAGAAAUUGAUUUUAAAAUGUAAAACCUUAUAAGGGGAUUUGCUAGCAACUUCCAUUAAAUUACCAGGUUACAUCUGUACUAUUUUUAAAUGUCCUAAUACAACCUAACAAAAUAAAUUAAGUUGAAAUCUAACCGUAUAAUAUGAACACAAAAACAUUGAAGGAUAUGCAUGGCAAAAUUGGAAGCAAUACAUUUUCUCAAUCAAUAUGAAAUUUGAGAAAAUUGACCAGCUUUGUGUAAUUAUCAAAACUUCUUUUAUUUUGGCUGUUCUAUUAAACUGCCUCCUAUUUAUACCCCAUGUCCAUCUUUAAAUGAAACGAACACUAUUUGUCACAUUC